AGCUAUUCAAAAUUCGAUAGUGGGUGUUGUUAUUCUAUCGUUUACAUCUCAAUUUUUGCAUAAGUAUAGUUUAAUCUUUUUAGCUUUCGGGGAUUUCUGUUACCUUUUGCUAACUAGGGAUUUAUGUGUAGUUAUGUUUCGUAUCUUUGAUUGUGUGGAUUUUUUAGGUGGAGAUCGCGAGGUGAUUAAUCCUUCAGAAAAUUAAGACUUGUGAGGGUGCUGAUUUCAUUCUAAGGUAAGUGUUUUAAUGCCAAUUUGGGGUUGUUGUGGCUAUUUGAGUUUCUCGUAUUUUGGUUUGAUUAGUAUUUUAGGAAAAUCAAAGACCAUAUCCUCUUAAUUGAUUCUCUUCCGUGGGCUAAUUCGUUAAUUGAAUGAUGUCUUUAGGUAAUGGAAUACUCAAUUCUUGAAUCAACAUCGAAAUUCGACCAAGUGUGUGACUCAAACUUAUAAAAAUGGCUAUCAACAUAAAAUCAACAAACUCACAAUCGGAGUCAUACGACAAUGUGGUAGACC
rnacentral:lncRNA from 1 species